AUACGGAGGGUGCGAGCGUUAAUCGGAAUUACUGGGCGUAAAGCGUACGUAGGCGGCUUGGUCAGUCGGAUGUGAAAGCCCCGGGCUUAACCUGGGAAUUGCACUCGAUACUGCCAGACUAGAGUUUACUAGAGGAAUGCGGAAUUCCGGGUGUAGCGGUGAAAUGCGUAGAUAUCCGGAGGAACAUCAGUGGCGAAGGCGGCAUUCUGGGCUAAAACUGACGCUGAGGUACGAAAGCGUGGGGAGCAAACAGGAUUAGAUACCCCAGUAGUCC
rnacentral:rRNA from 1 species